GACGAACGCUGGCGGCGUGCUUAACACAUGCAAGUCGCACGGGACUGGGGGCAACUCCAGUUCAGUGGCGGACGGGUGCGUAACACGUAAGUAACAUGUCCAAGGGUGGGGGAUAGCCGGCCCAACGGCCGGGUAAUACCGCAUGCAGUCACGGGGGACAUCCUCGGUGACGAAAGCCGGGGCAACCUGGCGCCCAUGGAGUGGUCUUG
rnacentral:rRNA from 1 species